rnacentral:rRNA from 1 species
UACGUAGGUGGCUAGCGUUGUCCGGAUUUACUGGGCGUAAAGAGCGCGCAGGCGGUCGUUCAAGUCGAGUGUGAAAGCCCCCGGCUCAACUGGGGAGGGUCACUCGAUACUGAUCGACUUGAAGGCAGGAGAGGGAAGCGGAAUUCCCGGUGUAGUGGUGAAAUGCGUAGAUAUCGGGAGGAACACCAGUGGCGAAGGCGGCUUUCUGGCCUGUUCUUGACGCUGAGGCGCGAAGGCCAGGGGAGCAAACGGG